rnacentral:misc_RNA from 1 species
UUAAGUUCAGCGGGUAGUCCUACUCGAUUUGAGGUCAAGUUGUCAGAUAUUGUCCAAAGACAGUUAAGAAGCACAGAGCUCCCAAUCAGCCACCCUCUUUCGAGACGCCGGCGAAGACACUUAUCACGCCGUACUAUGUCCAACCAGGAGUUGCACUAAUGCAUUUGAGGUGAGCCACCGGGCAGCAGCAACACCCAAGC